rnacentral:rRNA from 1 species
CGUGAGGCGGAGCAAAACACAAAACACAGUCUCAGUUCAGAUUGUAGGCUGAAACUCGCCUAUAUGAAGUCGGAAUUGCUAGUAAUCGCGGAUCAGCAUGCCGCGGUGAAUACGUUCCCGGGCCUUGUACACACCGCCCGUCACACCAUGAGAGUCGAUAACACCCGAAGCCUGUAGUCUAACAGCAAUGAGGACGCUGUCGAAGGUGGGAUUGAUAAUUAGGGUGAAGUCGUAACAAGGUACC